CCUACGGGAGGCAGCAGUGGGGAAUUUUGGACAAUGGGCGAAAGCCUGAUCCAGCAAUGCCGCGUGAGUGAAGAAGGCCUUCGGGUUGUAAAGCUCUUUUGUCAGGGAAGAAACGGUGUUUUCUAAUACAGAAUGCUAAUGACGGUACCUGAAGAAUAAGCACCGGCUAACUACGUGCCAGCAGCCGCGGUAAUACGUAGGGUGCAAGCGUUAAUCGGAAUUACUGGGCGUAAAGCGUGCGCAGGCGGUUUUGUAAGUCUGACGUGAAAUCCCCGGGCUCAACCUGGGAAUUGCGUUGGAGACUGCAAGGCUAGAGUUUGGCAGAGGGGGGUAGAAUUCCACGUGUAGCAGUGAAAUGCGUAGAUAUGUGGAGGAACACCGAUGGCGAAGGCAGCCCCCUGGGUCAAGACUGACGCUCAUGCACGAAAGCGUGGGGAGCAAACAGGAUUAGAUACCCUGGUAGUCCACGCCCUAAACGAUGUCUACUAGUUGUCGGGUCUUAAUUGACUUGGUAACGCAGCUAACGCGUGAAGUAGACCGCCUGGGGGAUACGGUCGCAAGNUUAAAACUCAAAGGAAUUGACCGG
rnacentral:rRNA from 1 species